AAACAUGGCCUUUUGAUUAUAAUUUAAGGUNUGACCUGCCCAAUGAGUUUUUAAAUGGCCGCGGUAUUUUGACCGUGCAAAGGUAGCAUAAUCAUUAGUUUUUUAAUUGAAAGCUGGAAUGAAAGGUUGGAUGAGAAAAUAUCUGUCUCUAUUUAAAUUUUUUAGAACUUUAUUUUUAAGUAAAAAAGCUUAAAUGUAAAUAGAAGACGAGAAGACCCUAUAGAGUUUUAUUUAUAUUUUAUAAAGAGUUUAUAGAAAUAAUUUAUUUUUUAUAAGUAAUAAAUUUAAUUGGGGUGAUUGAAAAAUUUAAUAAACUUUUUUUUUAUUGAAACAUUAAUUUAUGACUAUUUGAUCCUUAUAUAAAGAUUAAAAGAAAAAAUUACCUUAGGGAUAACAGCGUAAUUUUUUUAGAGAGUUCAAAUCGAAAAAAAAGAUUGCGACCUCGAUGUUGGAUUAAAAUAUAAUUUUGGUGUAGAAGCUAAAAUAUUUGGGUCUGUUCGACCCUUAAAAUUUUACUUGAUCUGAGUUC
rnacentral:rRNA from 1 species